GAGUUUGAUCGUGGCUCAGAUUGAACGCUGGCGGCAUGCCUUACACAUGCAAGUCGAACGGCAGCAUGAUCUAGCUUGCUAGAUUGAUGGCGAGUGGCGAACGGGUGAGUAAUACAUCGGAACGUGCCCUGUAGUGGGGGAUAACUAGUCGAAAGAUUAGCUAAUACCGCAUACGACCUGAGGGUGAAAGUGGGGGACCGCAAGGCCUCAUGCUAUAGGAGCGGCCGAUGUCUGAUUAGCUAGUUGGUGGGGUAAAGGGCCCACCAAGGCGACGAUCAGUAGCUGGUCUGAGAGGACGAUCAGCCACACUGGGACUGAGACACGGCCCAGACUCCUACGGGAGGCAGCAGUGGGGAAUUUUGGUACAAUGGGGCGAAAGACCUGAUCCAGCAAUGCCGCGUGUGUGAAGAAGGCCGUCGGUU
rnacentral:rRNA from 1 species